rnacentral:rRNA from 1 species
GAGCGGCGAACGGGUGAGUAACACGUGGGUGAUCUGCCUCGUACUUCGGGAUAAGCCUGGGAAACUGGGUCUAAUACCGGAUAUGACCGCAUGCUGCAUGGUGUGUGGUGGAAAGAUUUAUCGGUGCGAGAUGGGCCCGCGGCCUAUCAGCUUGCUGGUGGGGUAAUGGCCUACCAAGGCGACGACGGGUAGCCGACCUGAGAGGGUGACCGGCCACACUGGGACUGAGACACGGCCCAGACUCCUACGGGAGGCAGCAGUGGGGAAUAUUGCACAAUGGGCGGAAGCCUGAUGCAGCGACGCCGCGUGAGGGAUGACGGCCUUCGGGUUGUAAACCUCUUUCGACAGGGACGAAGCGGAAGUGACGGUACCUGUAGAAGAAGCACCGGCCAACUACGUGCCAGCAGCCGCGGUAAUACGUAGGGUGCGAGCGUUGUCCGGAAUUACUGGGCGUAAAGAGCUUGUAGGCGGUUUGUCGCGUCUUCUGUGAAAACUCACAGCUCAACUGUGAGCUUGCAGGGGAUACGGGGCAGACUAGAGUACUUCAGGGGAGACUGGAAUUCCU